UCAUCUAAGUGUGGUGAUUCCAUAAUUUUUUCCAGGGGUUGUACUAUUAAAUGUUCUUACUUUAAUUGAUUUUUGAAUUCUGUAAUAUUCUCUUCCUUUAUUAUCUAAAUCCCAUAUUUUUGCCACUGUUUGUCAUUAUUACUUUUUAUUAUAGCUUUACCUUCAUUGUUUUCCAAGAGGAAUCUCAAUUUUAUCAGUAAGAUUUAGUGCUUUUUUCACUAAUUUAUCAGCUUCCUCAUUACCUAAGAUUCCUAUAUGUGCUGGUAUCCAACUAAACUGAACAUCUAUUCACAAUCUUUAUAAAUUUAACAAUGCUGUGUAUUUUUAUGUUUUAGUGAUAUAAAUACGUCAAUAUUGUAUGUUUUUUGUGUGUAUGAACAAUGACUGAAUUCAUAUGUUUGGGUGAACUAACCCUUUAUGCACCCAAAUAGAAACUGUAUGAAAUUUAUGUAUGCAUUUAUAUUAUAGUACCUUGAAAAAGUAAACUUUAAGAAAUAAGCAGCUUUAAUUAGCAUUUGUGCCUAAGACACUAACAAAAAAGGAUUUUCAAAAAUCACAUUUACAUUUGACCAUUUGGCAGAUGCUGUUAUCCAAAGUGACUUACAGUGCUCUUAUUACAGGGAUGAUCCCCGUGGAGUAACCUGGAGUAAAGUGUCUUGCUCAAGGACACACUGGUGGUGACGGCUGCGGCGAUCGAACCAGAAACCUUCUGCUGACCAGCUCAGCAGUUUAACCCACUACACCACAAAAUCAUGCUGAUGGAGAGCAGGCACACGAAUGUUUGGAGCAGACACAGCGGCAGCCAGAUUGUCCCACACAUCUUCUCCCACUCUUGCUUCAAGGUUGUGGGGUUCAGGGGUCCAUCAUCAUGGUCUUCCUCAUCCUCUGGAUCAACGAUGUCCCCAUUGAGAAGAGCAGCAGUGAGGGACAUGAUGGAUGACAAAGACAGGUGAAGGUGUUCACGGUGGUCAGCUGCAGAAUGGGCACAGCUGUGUUGAGAUGGCAGCAGGAUGUGGGGAUCACCGCCCGCAAAUACGUGAUUGUUAGAACAAUAAAUUUGAAUAAAGCUUUGUUUCAUGUGCUG